GCUUCCGUAGCUCAGUCGGUCAGAGCGAACGGCUGUUAACCGUUAGGUCGCAGGUUCGAGCCCUGCCGGGAGCG
rfam:Guillardia theta CCMP2712 unplaced genomic scaffold GTITHscaffold_64, whole genome shotgun sequence.